rnacentral:sRNA from 1 species
UAUUCCUUUUAAAUCAGUCCAGAGAGACUGAAAAGGGCGAGUAAUCUUGAAAUAGGUUUAGUUUGCCCAUGCCCUUUUGUCCUCUGUGACAAAAGGGCAUUUUUAGU